GAUGAAGGAACGCAGCGAAAUGCGAUAAGUAAUGUGAAUUGCAGAAUUCAGUGAAUCAUCGAAUCUUUGAACGCACAUUGCGCCCGCCAGUAUUCUGGCGGGCAUGCCUGUCUGAGCGUCAUUUCAACCCUCAUGCCCCUAGGGCGUGGUGUUGGGGAUCGGCCAAAGCCCGCGAGGGACGGCCGGCCCCUAAAUCUAGUGGCGGACCCGUCGUGGCCUCCUCUGCGAAGUAGUGAUAUUCCGCAUCGGAGAGCGACGAGCCCCUGCCGUUAAACCCCCAACUUUCCAAGGUUGACCUCAGAUCAGGUAGGAAUACCCGCUGAACUUAAGCAUAUCAAUAAGCGGAGGA
rnacentral:misc_RNA from 1 species